rnacentral:rRNA from 1 species
UACGGGAGGCAGCAGUGGGGAAUAUUGCACAAUGGGCGCAAGCCUGAUGCAGCCAUGCCGCGUGUAUGAAGAAGGCCUUCGGGUUGUAAAGUACUUUCAGUCGUGAGGAAGGUGUUAAGGUUAAUAACCUUAGCAAUUGACGUUAGCGACAGAAGAAGCACCGGCUAACUCCGUGCCAGCAGCCGCGGUAAUACGGAGGGUGCGAGCGUUAAUCGGAAUUACUGGGCGUAAAGGGCACGCAGGCGGUUAAUUAAGUUGGAUGUGAAAUCCCCGGGCUUAACCUGGGAAUGGCAUUCAAGACUGGUUAGCUAGAGUCUUGUAGAGGGGGUAGAAUUCCAUGUGUAGCGGUGAAAUGCAUAGAGAUGUGGAGGAAUACCGGUGGCGAAGGCGGCCCCUGGGACAAAGACUGACGCUCAUGUGCGAAAGCGUGGGGAGCAAACAGGAUUAGAUACC